rnacentral:rRNA from 1 species
GAUGAACGCUGGCGGCGUGCCUAAUACAUGCAAGUCGAGCGAACGGACGAGAAGCUUGCUUCUCUGAUGUUAGCGGCGGACGGGUGAGUAACACGUGGAUAACCUACCUAUAAGACUGGGAUAACUUCGGGAAACCGGAGCUAAUACCGGAUAAUAUUUUGAACCGCAUGGUUCAAAAGUGAAAGACGGUCUUGCUGUCACUUAUAGAUGGAUCCGCGCUGCAUUAGCUAGUUGGUAAGGUAACGGCUUACCAAGGCAACGAUGCAUAGCCGACCUGAGAGUGUGAUCGGCCACACUGGAACUGAGACACGGUCCAGACUCCUACGGGAGGCAGCAGUAGGGAAUCUUCCGCGAUGGGCGAAAGCCUGACGGAGCAACGCCGCGUGGGUGAUGAAGGUCUUCGGAUCGUAAAACUCUGUUAUUAGGGAAGAACAUAUGUGUAAGUAACUGUGCACAUCUUGACGGUACCUAAUCAGAAAGCCACGGCUAACUACGUG